AGAGUUUGAUCCUGGCUCAGGAUAAACGCUGGCGGCGUGCCUAACACAUGCAAGUCGAACGCUCUCUUGCCGCAAGGUGAGAGGGAGUGGCGGACGGGUGAGUAACACAUGGGAAUCGACCCAUUCGUGAGGAAUACCACCGAGAAAUCGGUGACAAUACCGCAUACGCUUUCUUCGGGAAGCAAAGCUCUUCGCAAGAGGGGCGCGAGUGGACGAGCCUGUGCCUGAUUAGCUGGUUGGUGGGGUAAGAGCCUACCAAGGCUGCGAUCAGUCGCUGGUCUGAGAGGAUGAUCAGCCACACUGGGAUUGAGAACGGCCCAGACUCCUACGGGGGGCAGCAGUGAGGAAUAUUCGGCAAUGGGGGCAACCCUGACCGAGCAACGCCGCGUGCAGGAAGACGGCCUUCGGGUUGUAAACUGCUUUUCUGGGGGAAGAGAACGGACGGUACCCCAGGAAGAAGCUCCGGCUAACUACGUGCCAGCAGCCGCGGUAAUACGUAGGGAGCGAGCGUUGUCCGGAGUUACUGGGCGUAAAGCGCACGCAGGCGGUCUGUCGCGUUCGUGCCGACAGCGACUCGCCUAACGAGUCGAGGAGUACGGAAACGGGCAGACUUGAGGGCCAGAGAGGGACACGGAACUCCGGGUGGAGUGGUGAAAUGCGUAGAGAUCCGGAAGAACACCAAAGGCGAAGGCAGUGUCCUGGUUGGUACCUGACGCUCAGAGGCGACAGCUAGGGGAGCGAACGGGAUUAGAUACCCCGGUAGUCCUAGCCGUAAACGAUGACCACGAGAUGUCCGGGGGAUCGACCCCCUGGGUGUCGAAGCAAACGCAGUCAGUGGUCCGCCUGGGGAGUACGGUCGCAAGAUUAAACUCAAAGGAAUUGACGGGACCCGCACAGCAGCGGAGCGUGUGGUUAAUUCGAUGCAACGCGAAGCACCUUACCAGGGUUUGACAUGUCUUCSCMCUCUAGGGACUAGAGUGCCCGCAAGGGACGARACMCAGKGCUGCAUGGCUGUCGUCAGCUCUGCUGAGGUGU
rnacentral:rRNA from 1 species